AGGCUAUUUGUCGGUGCAAGAGCCAGGCAGCAGACUAUGCCAGGAUGCUCCAAGACUGGCCAGUCAGGCACCUCUGCCCUGCCCAGAGACCUGGACUCCACCUCCGUUAGUGAGGAGCUGCCCUGGAGUGAGGAUCCUGAACAGCCUGGGGACAGAGGGACACAGCCUGACUCCACAGGGUCGACCCGAGGAGUGUGUAAGGAGAGGAAGCAGAAGGCAGGCAGAGCAGGGACAGCAAAGACUGGAGCAUAGAGUGGUAGCCUUCCACCAGGGAGGUUGAUAAGAGGGGGUACAGAGAACCGAGUUGAGAAAGACAGACAGCAGGAGACAUCACAGGCCGGACAGCGAUCCACCUCUCCUGGGACGGUACAGUCCAGGAAACAGCCUUCCUUCAAGAGGAGCGCACAGACAG